GUGCAUUAGCAACGCACAGCUCGCGCGCGCCAACUGUAGCAUCACAUGCUGAAGCGGCAGCAGUUAGCGGGGUCCCACCCUCACAUCACCAACUACGCUUUGCCACCCUUCAGCGCGCGUUAUAAUGUCGUGUUUUGCUCUCUUUGAGCGAGUGCGCCGUAGAAUGAGCGCGCGCUCGAGUGCGUGUUGUAACGCGCGCAUCUCACUGCUCUAUUUAUUUUGUAUUCGCAAGAGUGCUCGUGUUUGUUGGCGUACUCGAUUGCAUACUAAAAAUAAAUAGUGCAAUGCUGUGCGGUUGUUGUUUGUUUUUUUUUUUUUGCUAAUCGAGACAAGCUGUAAGCUUUUCUGAACUUGACAUUCGCUUUUAUUUUCAUUUCGUUCUAGUUUCUAAGUGCAAUGUCACAGAUAAAUGCGUCUGAUGCCAACAGUUCUGUGCGGCAUCAUGAAUAGCAAACAAAGCUUUUUCAAAAGCUCUGCGAGAUUGCAAGCGUGAAGUUGUUUUGCAUUGCCAAUUGUACAAAAUUCAGGAAGAGAUGCUGAAAACCUGUGCAGAAUCCUUAUGCUUCCGAAGUCUUAACAUAUAAGGAAUACCAGGAUCAAUUUUGCGAGCUUCCCGCUUUGCUUAAUGGAAGAAAGGUUACGGUUUAUUCAAUGGACCUACUUUUACAAAAAAGUAACAGUAGAGAGACUUUUUGAGCUAAGCCGAAUAGCUUUGGAUUUGAAGCGGAAGCCCUCAAUGGUUUACGGUUGUAUGACGAGUUUCAACCCAGUCUUUUCAUGCUUUUUUUUCGCUCUCUAUGAAUGAACAUGUUUUAGGACAUACAAAAAUCGCAGAUAGUUCCGAGACAGGUUUUAAUAAGCAAGUAGUAGCUCUCUCAUCAUUCCAAUCUGGCGUGCUUAAUUCUAUUUCUAAAAGAUCACAUCUCAACGGGAAACAAGGCAACAUUAACUUAACGCCUAAAUUGUAUGCGCCUUAUGAAGCAACGGAAAUUUCACCAUUUGAGGGAUCUUGGAAUAGUCCAUUACCAAGAGAACCAUAUGUUGGUUUAAUUGACGAAGUCUCAGUCCACAUUUUAGCAACAAAUGUGUUUCGGAACGAUUCAACAAGGAGUAUUUGGCAAUGUAGGAUUCAAGGUUAUUGAAAAUUUAAGAAAAGAUAGUUUCCAUCUGGGUUCCAGAAGAACCCACUGUUCCACAAAGCGCACUUUGAUUAUUGAUAAGUUUAUACGAGAAAAAAAGAACGUUAUAUUACAUAAAUAUUAGCGAAAAAUUUUGGAUACAUAUAUUAGUAGGCAUAAUUGAGCCUGGGCUUAACUAAAGGCUUUAUUGUCUAUAUGUAGUAGAAGAAUAAAGGCAAUUAAUCUGUUUUUAAA